UACGUAGGGGGCAAGCGUUGUCCGGAUUUAUUGGGCGUAAAGAGCGUGUAGGCGGCCAGGUAGGUCUGGUGUGAAAACUCGAGGCUCAACCUCGAGAGGUCAUCGGAAACCAUCUGGCUAGAGUCCGGAAGAGGAGAGUGGAAUUCCCGGUGUAGCGGUGAAAUGCGCAGAUAUCGGGAAGAACACCUAUGGCGAAGGCAGCUCUCUGGGACGGUACUGACGCUGAGACGCGAAGGCGUGGGGAGCGAACAGG
rnacentral:rRNA from 1 species